AUUCAUCGCAUUGUGACAAAUUUUUCAAAAUCGGUUCACGAUAAAUCAUAGUUGUAUAACUACAUAUUUUCGAAAGAAAAAUUUUUAAUCGCUUAUCUGGUGUCGUAAGGUUUUACAUGGAUGAAUUUCUCAUAUAGAAACUUAAUUAUUUCCUAAUUUAUAACUAUAUAAUAGGCUGUUACUUUCUAUUUAAUUCUUACGAAAUUUUCAUUUUCUCUUCUCGCACAAUUUUUCCCCAAAACAGCGAUUUUUAGGUCCCUCAAAUCCUCAUCUGUUCCAGUCCAAACUAAACGACUCAAACAUCAUCGUACUACUAAAAUAUAUCCCUUCUUCGAGCUACUUCAAAAAAUCUCUCUGAUUCAUGUAACGUUAAAAUUACCGAUCGUUAAUAACUAAACAAAAAUUAACGUUACUAAAAACAUUUGCGUAUCCAGUAGUUGCAGAAACGAGAAAUUUGAUAUCAGAUCAGUUUCAUUAAUCUGCUAUUUCUAGUAUUAAUACAAUCAUUACAUAAGAAUAACGAGAGAAAAGUUCUAGCCCAGGCGUAUCCAAAUACAACUAUCUCGAUUAUCUCUGUCUCAUUUCCCAAAGGAAGGGAAGGGAAGUAUUUUCCUGGUAGACGACGUAAAUUCCCUGUUAUUAUUGACGAUUCCAAGGAUUUUGUAUAUACCGUGUAAAUUCGGGUAUGUCAAUGAUAGAUUGCCGCUGGAACGACUUUGGUGGGGCGGCCAGUUAUUCACAAAAGAUGUUUAUUAUCAGUAAACCGAACACUUUGGUAGGCCGUGGCUCGUCCCUCUCCUCCUCGUCCUUCGCUAGACUUCGACUUUCAUAUCAGUUGGCUCAUAGCUGUGGCUGGUGACGUUCCACCCGUGGUUCGCGUUUCUCGUCACAAAAUUCUUCACGUUCGAGUGCGGUUAUCGUCGCGAUCGUAUCAGUUCGAUCGUAUGUUCCAAGUGUACACCGUCCUUGAAUUCGUUCCAUCUACAAUAACAACACACGUUUUCAAACUUCAUUAAAACAGAAACGACGAUCUAUCCGAUCUGUAUAACCGUGACACACGAGUAGAAGCUUGAUUGCAGGCGGAAGAUGGACGAAGAAUCGAAGAGGUUGUUCGUCACCAGGAAUUCGGGGAAUCGAGGAGCGUCGCGUUUAAUAAGAUCCCGGGAGUCUGCCGACACGGCGUAGGAAUGUGACAAAAGUGGUAAUCGGGCGAAGCGACGAAGUACAAGCCAGCUGGAACAAGCGGCAUGAGGAAAGAAGAAGUAAGAUCAAGAAAAAAAGAAAAUAAGAA